UUGUAUGUAACUCAAUUGGUUAGAGCACGGGACACAAAUCCCGUAGGAUGUUGGUUCGAGUCCAAUCAUACAAA
rnacentral:tRNA from 2 species